rnacentral:rRNA from 1 species
UUAAGUCUCCUGAAGGAACGUUAAAGACGAUGACGUUGAUAGGCCGGGUGUGUAAGCGCAGCGAUGCGUUGAGCUAACCGGUACUAAUGAACCGUGAGGCUUAACCUU